rnacentral:lncRNA from 1 species
UGAGUCCCUUGUUGAAUGCACAAAUUUUGUGCACAUUAUAAUCACAGACAGAUAUUGCUAGCAGAAUGCAACAAAAUUUUAUAUAUGGUUGUGUUAUAUGUUGGUUAUCAGCCAUUACAUAAUUUUUGCAUUUAAAUUAUGUGAAUAUAUUCUCCCUCAUCAGAUAACAGAAGGCUUACUUUCUCAUGAACAGGAAACAGCAGACCUUUACUGCUGUAAGCCACAAACAAGAGUAAUGUUUGCAGCACAUACAGAACAACAGACUGUUUUACGAUUAGUCACGACUGUCUUAAACAUGUAAUAGGCCCUAGUUGACCAUGAAUUUCCCCUAGUUGCAUCAGGCACUGUCAUCUUCUUCCACAAGGGUGACAAUCUGCUAUUACUAGAAAGGCCAGGACCUCACUUCCAUAAGAUUUUCGAUUACUUGAUCAUCCUCAGGUUCUCUAUCAGCUAGUAGAAGGAGCCACCACCUUUUGGCUCAAAGGGAGAGAUUCAUAACUCGCACAUAAGCCCCACUAGAUCUAGAAGGUUCCUUCUUCAUGCAGGUUCUUCUCAAACAAGAUCAUUUGGGCUUCACAUAAGCUUCAAUCAAAAUCAAAGGUGGGUCAAUAAUAAAUCCAAAAAUGUCUUAUCUGUUGUUUUUGAGUCAUAUCAGAGAUAAUUGAAGAUCUAUUAGAAUCUUUAACCUGCAAAUGAGUCUCACCCAAUCUACUAGGUUCAUUCUUCAU